rnacentral:rRNA from 1 species
AUUGAACGCUGGCGGCAGGCCUAACACAUGCAAGUCGAACGAGUGGCGGACGGGUGAGUAAUGUCUGGGAAACUGCCCGAUGGAGGGGGAUAACUACUGGAAACGGUAGCUAAUACCGCAUACCAUCGGAUGUGCCCAGAUGGGAUUAGCUAGUAGGUGGGGUAACGGCUCACCUAGGCGACGAUCCCUAGCUGGUCUGAGAGGAUGACGAGCCACACGGGAACUGAGAAACUGUACGGAUGCCUGCGGGAGGAAGCAGUGGGCUAUAUUGCACAAUGGGCGCAAGCCUGAUGCAGCCGUGCCGCGUGUAUGAAGGAGGCUUUCGGGUUGUAAAGUACUUUAAGCGAGAAGGCGUUACUCUCAGAAGAAGCACCAGAUAACUCAGUGCCAGCAGCCGCGUAAUUC